rnacentral:rRNA from 1 species
GACGAACGCUGGCGGCGUGCCUAAUACAUGCAAGUUGAGCGCUGAAGGUUGGUACUUGUACCAACUGGAUGAGCAGCGAACGGGUGAGUAACGCGUGGGGAAUCUGCCUUUGAGCGGGGGACAACAUUUGGAAACGAAUGCUAAUACCGCAUAAAAACUUUAAACACAAGUUUUAAGUUUGAAAGAUGCAAUUGCAUCACUCAAAGAUGAUCCCGCGUUGUAUUAGCUAGUUGGUGAGGUAAAGGCUCACCAAGGCGAUGAUACAUAGCCGACCUGAGAGGGUGAUCGGCCACACUGGGACUGAGACACGGCCCAAACUCCUACGGGAGGCAGCAGUAGGGAAUCUUCGGCAAGGGACGAAAGUCUGACCGAGCAACGCCGCGUGAGUGAAGAAGGUUGUCGGAUCGUAAAACUCUGUUGGUAGAGAAGAACGUUGGUGAGAGUGGAAAGCUCAUCAAGUGACGGUAACUACCCAGAAAGGGACGGCUAACUACGUG